GUAAAAUGGCUGCCAUCAGGUGUACAGUUUAUUUGUAACAUUGUAAGCGUUAUCAAAUGAUCAAAAACUUUUAAUUUUUGCUGAAUAAUAGUGUAUAGAUUCCUAAGAGAGAUCCUGGAUAUACAGAUAUUAAGUAGGUAUUUUUAUAUCGUAGUUUUUUAAAUGUAAUCGAAUGGCAUUGUGACGAGAGCGAAGCGCGGAAGUACAAAAAGAAUAGGUAUAGUGGGAGCUGUCAAAGGAUUCUUAUGUCAAUUUAUUUACAAGCAUAAGUUUUAAUGAAUGUCUGAGAGUGAUAUUUACGACUCGGCGGACGAAUACACAAGCCUAAUGGACGGUCACGUUGCGGAAUCUCGCAUGGACGACCUGGGCUUGGUCACUGGUCGUAAAAGGCGUUCGCGGAUUAGUAACGAAGAGGUUGAAAAUGGGGUUCCGGAAGUACAUGUUCAAACAGCAGGUAUAUCCAACAGUGCCAGUUCAGCUAGGAGAGGUGCACCAAGUAAUAAUGGACAAGGUAGAUCAAGAAAUUAUAGAGACGAAGAAGAAGAGGAAUUAAAAUAUGGAGCAGCACAUGUUAUCAAAUUAUUUGUGCCUGUAUCUCUUUGUAUGUUAGUCGUAGUUGCUACCAUUAGUUCUAUAAAUUUCUACACAACCAAAGGAAUGUACUUGGUUUACACUCCUUUUCAUGAAGACAGUGCUGACACGAGUACCAAAGCUUGGCAGGCAAUUGCUAAUUCUUUAAUACUCAUGAGUGUCAUUGUAUGUAUGACUGUGAUACUUAUCGUCUUAUAUAAAUACAAAUUUUAUAGAGCAAUCCAUGGGUGGUUGAUAAUAAGUUCCUUAUUGUUAUUGUCUCUCUUUUCUAUUCUUUUCUGCGAGCAAGUAUUAAAAGCAUACAACAUUCCAAUGGAUCUGAUCACAUUAGGCAUAGUUUCAUGGAAUUUUGGAGCAGUUGGAAUGAUAUGUAUACAUUGGCAAGGUCCUUUGCAAUUACAACAAGCAUAUCUUAUUUUCAUCUCAGCUCUAAUGGCACUUGUUUUUAUCAAACAUUUACCAGAGUGGACAGCUUGGGUUGUACUAGGUGUUAUCAGCAUUUGGGAUUUAAUUGCCGUAUUAACGCCGAAGGGUCCCUUAAGGGUGCUUGUGGAGACAGCACAAGAAAGGAACGAAUCUAUUUUCCCUGCAUUGAUUUAUUCGUCUACGGUUAUGUAUACAACCACCAUGACUUAUGCCGGAUACGUACAAGCAGCAACAAUGACUAGUAGUGAUUCCGCGGCUGAUGACAACGCGGCAUAUCCUAUACGCGGUCAGACUGACAAUCAAAAUAAUGCUGCAUCUGGAGAUGCAGAAGAAGGUGGUUUUACUCCCGAAUGGAUAGAAACACACGGUGAUCGAAGUGCAAGGAGAGCCCAGGAAGUACGGGAAAACUCUGCAUCGUUAACUGAAAGUGCAAGGCAACAAGAUAAUAGAACUGUACGCGAUGCACAAGGACAACAAGUCGCCGUUACCGAGGAAGAACGAGGAGUGAAGUUAGGUCUGGGUGACUUUAUCUUCUACAGCGUUUUAGUUGGAAAAGCUUCCAGCUAUGGUGACUGGAAUACAACAUUGGCAUGUUUUGUUGCCAUUUUAAUUGGGCUUUGUUUAACUUUAUUAUUGUUGGCUAUAUUCAAAAAAGCAUUGCCAGCCUUACCAAUCUCUAUUACCUUCGGUUUAACGUUUUAUUUUGCUACCAGAGUAAUCGUUGCGCCGUUUGCCGAUAAUUUAGCAAGCGAACAAGUGUUCAUUUAACUGUAGAUAUACUUACGUGAUGAUUAACAAGUUCUCGGACCGCGUCAACGCAUUUAUCAUCGUUCAAACUCGACCAGGAUUCUGGCAAGCUACCAUCGCUUCCAGCACCGUCAUCCGUCUGAAAUGCUCGUGCUAUUAAUCUACAAGCUACAAUCGUGCCGUGAAAAUGUUGGAAUUUCCUUUCUGUCGAAAACUCUUACCUUCUCCCACCAUUGACG
rnacentral:misc_RNA from 1 species